GCAGCCACCUCAUAACAAAACCCACCCACCGGGCCCACCACCAACAAAGCGCUGGCUCGCAUUUUUCGGUUGGGGCGACCUUGGAGAAAAACAAAUCCUCCAAAAAUAAGACCACUUCUUCUUAACCAAGAGCUACCCCUCAACGUACUAAUAGUAACCAGACCCAAUAUAAUUGACCAAUGGA
rnacentral:rRNA from 1 species